CCAGCUCAAGGUAGAGGAAUAACAGGAGGCCAGAAAGAAUGAAGCUAGAAGGCAGAAGGCAUUUGAUCUGAAGGCAUGGUUCAGUAAGUUGGACGAGCUGCUAACAAACUAUUCUAAAUUUCUACUUGAAAAAAUGCAUCAGAUCGCAGAGUAUGUUGGCGAUGCUAACAAACUAUUGAACAACUUUUUUCUUAGUACAUCUUGGUUCUUGACAUUGGUGGUGUUCUCUUUUGGUUCAGCAGAAAGUUGUUGAAGUGAAAGAUGAAGAGGAAUUUGUGGAGGAGCUGAAGACAUGACGUGGAAGAAAGAAGAAAGCAAACCCUAAACAUUAUAAUGAUGUGAGUUCAGAUUUCAUAUGUUGUCUUCCCUGCUUCAUGAAUAUGAUAGCGUGGUUGUCUUCCAGAUUAUGCAUAGGCCUUUAUUUGUCAUAUACUACCGAUGCACUAUAGUUUGAUGUGUAGUCUGUAUUAACUGCUCAACUGACAUUCCUUGCAUAAUUAUAGGGAGACUGCUUGAUAUCUUGUUGUUUCAAGAAAUUCUGAUUAAGCUCUCAACCCGUGACCGAGUACUGCCCUGCCUAGCCACGCGUCCAGGAUGCGGAAGAUGCGGCGCUUGCUGGAAAGCUGGUCAAGUAGGGCCCCCACUGUGUGUUUUAGCAGAUUGAUCCUGCACAUCACACUAACUGCUAGAAAUAAGUGGACUCAGAACAAUUUGCAAUCAUCAGUUGGAUAUUUGACGACUACAAUAUAUGCUGUUUUCUAUAUUGAGUUUGUAUAUUCGAUCUCACCACUUGUUAGCUUCCUUCUGAGAUCCAAUUUAUAUUUUUCAGUUUUCACACUAGAGUGAUUAUUUAUAUGUAUUACUGUAGAGACACGGGAAUCUAGAUUGUUCUUUCCCAUGAACCCUAAACUUCAGUUAAAUGUAUUCUCUGUAAUUACAACAUCGUUGUCUUUUUCCUGGAUUGUACUAAUUUUCAGGUUUCGGUGUCUGAAUCUUCAAUACAAAACAGAG
rnacentral:lncRNA from 1 species